rnacentral:rRNA from 1 species
CCUACGGGAGGCAGCAGUGAGGAAUAUUGGUCAAUGGCCGGAAGGCUGAACCAGCCAAGUCGCGUGAGGGAUGACUGCCCUACGGGUUGUAAACUUCUUUUGUAAAGGAGUAAAGUGAGGCACGUGUGCCUUUUUGUAUGUACUUUAUGAAUAAGGAUCGGCUAACUCCGUGCCAGCAGCCGCGGUAAUACGGAGGAUCCGAGCGUUAUCCGGAUUUAUUGGGUUUAAAGGGAGCGUAGAUGGGUUGUUAAGUCAGUGGUUAAAGUUUGGGGCUCAACCGUCAAAUUGCAAUUGAUACUGGCAGUCUUGAGUACAGUUGAGGUAGGUGGAAUUCGUGGUGUAGCGGUGAAAUGCUUAGAUAUCACGAAGAACUCCGAUUGCGAAGGCAGCUUACUAACCUGCCACUGACAUUGAUGCUCGAAAGUGUGGGUAUCAAACAGGAUUAGAUACCCCAGUAGUC